rnacentral:rRNA from 1 species
AACGGGUGAGGAUCACGUGAGAAACUGCCUUUCAUUUGGGAUAACACCGGGAAACCGGUGCUAAUACUGGAUACUCCGUCUUGGCGGCAUCGCCGAGCCGGGAAAGAUUUUCGAUGAAAGAUGGUCUCGCGGCCUAUCAGCUAGUUGGUGAGGUAACGGCUCACCAAGGCAACGACGGGUAGCCGGCCUGAGAGGGCGACCGGCCACACUGGGACUGAGACACGGCCCAGACUCCUACGGGAGGCAGCAGUAGGGAAUAUUGCGCAAUGGAGGAAACUCUGACGCAGCGACGCCGCGUGAGGGAUGAAGGCCUUCGGGUUGUAAACCUCUUUCAGCAGGGAAUAAGCGAAAGUGAAGGUACCUGCAGAAGAAGCACCGGCUAACUAUGUGCCAGCAGCCGCGGUAAUACAUAGGGUGCAAGCGUUGUCCGGAAUUAUUGGGCGUAAAGAGCUCGUAGGUGGUCGAUCACGUCGGAUGUGAAAAUCUGAGGCUUAACCUCAGACCUGCAUUCGAUACGGGUUGACUGGAGUGUGGUAGGGGAGACUGGAAUUCCUGGUGUAGCGGUGGAAUGCGCAGAUAUCAGGAGGAACACCGAUGGCGAAGGCAGGUCUCUGGGCCAUUACUGACACUGAGGAGCGAAAGCGUGGGGAGCGAACAGGAUUAGAUACCCUGGUAGUCCACGCCGUAAACGGUGGGCGCUAGUUGUGGGAACCUUCCACGGUUUCUGCGACGCAGCUAACGCAUUAAGCGCCCCGCCUGGGGAGUACGGUCGCAAGACUAAAACUCAAAGAAAUUGACGGGGCCCCGCACAAGCAGCGGAGCAUGCGGCUCAAUUCGAUGCAACGCGAAGAACCUUACCAAGGCUUGACAUAUAGCGAAAAGUGGCAGAGAUGUCAUGUCCGCAAGGGCGCUAUACAGGUGGUGCAUGGUUGUCGUCAGCUCGUGUCGUGAGAUGUUGGGUUAAGUCCCGCAACGAGCGCAACCCUCGUUCUGUGUUACCAGCAUUUAGUUGGGGACUCACAGGAGACUGCCGGGGUUAACUCGGAGGAAGGUGGGGAUGACGUCAAAUCCUCAUGCCCCUUAUGUCUUGGGCUGCACGCAUGCUACAAUGGCCGGUACAGAGGGCUGCGAAACCGUAAGGUGGAGCGAAUCCCAAAAGCCGGUCUCAGUUCAGAUUGAGGUCUACAC